rnacentral:rRNA from 1 species
UACGUAGGGCGCAAGCGUUGUCCGGAAUUAUUGGGCGUAAAGAGCUCGUAGGCGGCUUGUCACGUCGGAUGUGAAAGCCCGGGGCUUAACCCCGGGUCUGCAUUCGAUACGGGCUAGCUAGAGUGUGGUAGGGGAGAUCGGAAUUCCUGGUGUAGCGGUGAAAUGCGCAGAUAUCAGGAGGAACACCGGUGGCGAAGGCGGAUCUCUGGGCCAUUACUGACGCUGAGGCACGAAAGCGUGGGGAGCAAACAGG